rnacentral:rRNA from 1 species
UACGUAGGGGGCGAGCGUUGUCCGGAUUUAUUGGGCGUAAAAGGCUUGUAGGUGGCCACGUCAAGUCGGAUGUGAAAUCUCCCGGCUCAACUGGGAGGGGUCAUUCGAUACUGGCGGGCUCGAGGCCGGUAGGGGGAAGCGGAAUUCCCGGUGUAGUGGUGGAAUGCGUAGAUAUCGGGAGGAACACCAGUGGCGAAGGCGGCUCCUGGACCGGUUCUGACACUGAGGAGCGAA